UACGUAGGUGGCAAGCGUUGUCCGGAGUUAUUGGGCGUAAAGCGCGCGCAGGCGGUGCGGUAAGUCUCUGGUGAAAGCGCUCGGCUUAACUGGGCGAGGGCCGGGGAGACUGCCACGCUGGAGGGGAGCAGAGGCGAGUGGAAUUCCGGGUGUAGUGGUGAAAUGCGUAGAUAUUCGGAAGAAACACCAGUGGCGAAGGCGACUUACUGGACACAUAUUGACGCUG
rnacentral:rRNA from 1 species